ensembl:lncRNA
ACUGUUAUGAUAUUUUGAUACCACGGUAAGCAUUUACAGGAUAUUGUUUUAUACAGGAAAACUGUUACUCAAUAAGGCCGAUCUACUAGUUGUUUUUCUCUUUCUCUGUGACCCAAGAAUUAAUGUGUAGGACUUACAGGCUGGUACCUCAAGGUCGAAAACACCACAGAGAUGAGACCACUUCCUUACUCCCAUCCUCCCUUUUUCUUUAUCUCCUGGAAAAGGCUCGUUAAAGGCUAGGUGGUUUGUUUCAGAAUUCACUGAUGAAAGAACUCUGUAUUCUAUGUCUAGGAGUGUAUUUUGCUGGGAUGAUCAUAAAUUAUAGCUGAACUGAUAAACUACACACAGGAUACUUCUUUGCUCAGAAGGCAGGAAGACGUUUCCUUAUUUGGUCUGUACCGGUUUGAACUGGGAAAGCUGACACACGAACCUUUUUUCAUCUAUAUAAACUGCUGUGUAUCAAAUAAACCUUUGAGUCGAUUGGGAAGGCAACCUAAAGCAGUCUCUGUUUUCUUGUUCUCCCAAGCUGCUCCCGAGCUCGUACUAACACGCUGAAUGGCAUACCUGAGUGUUACUUUAAAUAAUUAGGAAUCUUAGAAGGAAAGGACAGAACUCUGCUUAUCGCUCACGCCACGGAGGAAACCCGGGAAGGCAAUUUCCUUCAAUUUUGGUGUCAGAAGUGGGAUGCUGACAGAAGCCUUUCCCCUCCACAGUUCCACCAGUGGAGACAAGGAGAUGCAUGUUGGAGAAGCCACUAAAACCAAGGACACUCUGGGAGGCCGCGUGUUCCAGCCCCCAGGCUUUACUGGCAGUGACGAAGAACCAGCAUCCUCACAGACGGACAACCUCAGUGGAUUCAUGCCAGCAGGGUUAAGACCAGCCCAAUCGGACCAUCUCAGGCGUCGGAUCAAGCAGACGACAUCUCCGGCGAGCCAGCGCCCGGAACUAGAGCAAAUAAACACACGGGUAGAUGACAUCUCCGGCGAGCCAGCGCCAGGAUCCAAUUUACACACACACACAAUCACUGAUUAAGACACAACGUCUGAAAGAACAACAACAAGGUACUCAAACAUCCAGCAGGAACAGAAAGCCAAAAGUACCACAUGAUGUCUAACCUGAUAAAGCCAGACUCAUUUCAUCCUGAUAAUGGAGAAAAUGAAAUGCCCAUUGUCAUCAUACGACGCUUAUUCUGUGUCUCUCGAACCUGGGACCAGGCCAGGAGACAACUGAAGAACUGUUUUUCUUAUAUACUUUCUUAUAUAUUUAGGUUAUUUAUCAUAUCUAUCGCAUUAACCUUAGGAUUUCUCUUUGCUAUUUUGUAUUGUAAACUGCAACCAUGUUCAUAUUUCUGCAGGUCAUAUUUUGCUGACUAUACCUCAUGCUCCAUUUUGCAAGACACCUACUUAAUGCACUCCUCACGCUCCCUAAAAUCAGUAAAUAGCAACAUAGACGCCACUAAUAAACCAUUUUAUGCACCCUCUAGAACAGGAGCUAACGCCUGGUAUGAAAAUGCCAGAACAGCCGCUCGUGAUUUAGGAAACAGUAACUGUUAUGUCUGUUCAAAGGCUAAUCCAGAACAGGUUAUAGUAGGAUACCCCAUAUCCGGUUUCCCCCUCACUGAGGGACUAGAGAAAAUCAGCGGAAAUAAUGCUCUCUUUAAAAACGCUUUACAGUUGACUCUGAGCCCUCUCGACUGCCUACUUAGACACACACAUAGAUUAUACAAAGGAUAACUAUAUAUUCUUCUCUGACUCCCCAGGUGCACGCUGUAAUGAGACAUGGCUAGCUGUCUCUGUGGCUGAAGUUGUAUCAUAUCUGGAGGAACACACACACAGUUCAAGUUCGAGCAGAGAAUCGAUCAUUGUUCCCCCAGACGGUGUAUUAAAUGACACUGACUGGGGGGAGUUAGUUAAAUCACACAUGGUCACGCGCCUAACUAGACCAAUCCCACGUGCUUAUUGGUUGUGCAAUAAUACUCUUAGAUUAGCUUUACCUGUUAAUUGGACCGGUACCUGUGGUCUAGUAACCGUUGAUGUAUGCUGUACUUUCAUUCCCAAUAAUACUGCUCCUAACGGUUCAUUCACACAAGCUAUGAAUAGACUUGAAGCAUUGCAGAUAGAACUAAUUGCCAAUACAGGUCACGGUCAGUGGCUACAUAAGUGGCUACAGGACACGUUUGGAAGAUGGAAGGAACUAAUUGUAGCCUUUGUAACCGUUGCAGCAUGUUUUUGAUGAUUAUUGUCUGUUGUGUGGUACCCUGUGUACGUUCAAUGAUAACCCGUAUAGCUACUAGUACAGCUACUUCAAUGUAUUUGCAAUUGGCACAAAUUGACCCAGAUUAUGUGUCAGAUGUCAUCAAUGAUGUUCCUGAUGUGUAUAUUGAACAUUAGGUUGUGAACUAUUACAUUUUAUGAUUUGCUUUUUAUAUUAUGUUAUUACAUUUGUGAUUUUUCCUUUCUAUUUGAGUUAUUAUUUUUAAAAAAUAAUAAAAGAGGGGAACUGUUAUGAUAUUUUGAUACCACGGUAAGCAUUUACAGGAUAUUGUUUUAUACAGGAAAACUGUUACUCAAUAAGGCCGAUCUACUAGUUGUUUUUCUCUUUCUCUGUGACCCAAGAAUUAAUGUGUAGGACUCACAAGCUGGUACCUGAAGGUCGAAAACACCACAGAGAUGAGACCACUUCCUUACUCCCAUCCUCCCUUUUUCUUUAUCUCCUGGAAAAGGCUCGUUAAAGGCUAGGUGGUUCGUUUCAGAAUUCACUGAUGAAAGAACUCUGUAUUCUAUGUCUAGGAGUGUAUUUUGCUGGGAUGAUCAUAAAUUAUAGCUGAACUGAUAAACUACACACAGGAUACUUCUUUGCUCAGAAGGCAGGAAGACGUUUCCUUAUUUGGUCUGUACCGGUUUGAACUGGGAAAGCUGACACACGAACCUUUUUUCAUCUAUAUAAACUGCUGUGUAUCAAAUAAACCUUUGAGUCGAUUGGGAAGGCAACCUAAAGCAGUCUCUGUUUUCUUGUUCUCCCAAGCUGCUCCCGAGCUCGU